AACGAACGCUGGCGGCGUGCCUUACACAUGCAAGUCGAGGGGUAACAGGAGUAGCUUGCUACUUGCUGACGACCGGCGCACGAGUGCGUAACGCGUAUACAAUCUACCUUUUGCUGAGGAAUAGCCCAGAGAAAUUUGGAUUAAUGCCUCAUGGUAUAUGAUAAUAGCAUCGUUAUUAUAUUAAAGGUUACGGCAAAAGAUGAGUAUGCGUUCUAUUAGCUAGAUGGUGUGGUAACGGCACACCAUGGCAACGAUAGAUAGGGGCCCUGAGAGGGGGAUCCCCCACACUGGUACUGAGACACGGACCAG
rnacentral:rRNA from 1 species